CAGUCGCCACGGGAACACGUAGGGUGCGAGCGUUAAUCGGAAUUACUGGGCGUAAAGCGUGCGCAGGCGGUUAUAUAAGACAGAUGUGAAGUCCCCGGGCUCAACCUGGGACCUGCAUUUGUGACUGUAUAGCUAGAGUACGGUAGAGGGGGAUGGAAUUCCGCGUGUAGCAGUGAAAUGCGUAGAUAUGCGGAGGAACACCGAUGGCGAAGGCAAUCCCCCGGACCUGUACUGACGCUCAUGCACGAAAGCGUGGGGAGCAAACAGGAUUAGAUACCCGAGUAGUCCCUGUCUCUUAUAC
rnacentral:rRNA from 1 species